GAUUUCUGACAUUGGCGCACCUGGCCCGCCACGGUUACGUGUGUGAGUGCCGGGAUGCGCCUGUCACUUUUCUGGUGAACCAUUGUGCUCUUCACUGAGUGUGAUGGCCUGAGCCAGAUAUUUUACUUUGAAAAAAUUAGAGUGUUUAAAGCAGGCGUUUGCUAUGAAUACAUUAGCAUGGAAUAAUAAUUUAGGACUUCGGUUCUAUUUUGUUGGUUUCUAGGACUGAAGUAAUGAUUGAUAGGGACAGUUGGGGGUGCUAGUAUUCAGCGGCCAGAGGUGAAAUUCUCGGAUUCGCUGAAGACUAACUUAUGCGAAAGCAUU
rnacentral:rRNA from 1 species